AGCUCGUCUGAGCUAUAUCGCUCUGAUCGUCACUCACGGGUGGUGGGUCGGACGCCAGGCAAGCCUCGUGUUCCCGGCACGCCUAGCCCAGUUGCAUGGCUGCCUCGGCGCAUGAGGCUCUUCGCCCGUGCUCUCGGAUUCGGAAUGUUAUGUGCUGCGGGUGGGUGGCUCAUCGGAGGCACUCCAUCCGGUCAAGCGAGGCAUUUUGUCCAACGAGACGAACGACUGCCGGACCCGUCUUUAUGUCCGCGCCCCCCGCCCCGGCCGGGCUCAUG
rnacentral:misc_RNA from 1 species